UACGUAGGGGGCAAGCGUUGUCCGGAAUCAUUGGGCGUAAAGCGCGUGUAGGCGGUUCAGUAAGUCUGCUGUGAAAGUCCAGGGCUCAACCCUGGGAUGCCGGUGGAUACUGCUGGGCUAGAGUACGGAAGAGGCGAGGUGGAAUUCCCGGUGUAGCGGUGAAAUGCGCAGAUAUCGGGAGGAACACCAAUUGCGAAGGCAGGCUCGCUGGGACCGUCACUGACGCUGAGGAGCCGAAAGCGUGGGGAGCGAACAGGG
rnacentral:rRNA from 1 species